GAUUGAAAGUUGAAAAUGGAAAAAAGGAAAAAUGGAAAAAUUGGGG
rnacentral:ribozyme from 1 species